rnacentral:misc_RNA from 1 species
GUGAAUCAUCGAAUCUUUGAACGCAAAUUGCACUUUCUGGUAUUCCGGAAAGUAUGCCUGUUUGAGGGUCAGUUAAAUAAAAUUCGUGGUGUUGGCGGCUUUUGUGGGGGACGGGUGGGAAUGAAGUGUUUUUACUUUGGUUUAGGGGAUUUAAAUUUUGGAUGGUUUUUGGAAGGAUUUAAAUUUCUUUACUUAGGCUGAGAUUUUGGAAUCUUUUU